GUCUGACCUCAGAGUCUCCAGUCUACAGUGUGGACUCUCCAGAAAACCACACAGCAGCUUCACUCCUGAAUCCUGCAGCUUGUUGUUACUCAGGUCCAGCUCUCUCAGAUGGGAGGGGUUGGACUUCAGAGCUGAGACCAGAGAAGAACAGCUGAUCUCUGACAAACUGCAGCCACUCAAUCUGAAUAAAGAAUAAAAGAUGUGAGUUUAGAAGACAAUGUUCCUGCUUGAAAUCAUUCAGUGUUUAAUAAUCUGUUCAGAGCUGAAGAAGGUUUACAAUGUACAAGUUUAGAAAA